rnacentral:lncRNA from 1 species
UCUCUCUCUCUCUCUCUCUCUCUCUCUCUCUCUCUCUCUCUCUCUCUCUCUCUCUCUCUCUCUAAAAUGUCCAACUAGUGAGAGAGUGUAAUAAGGAAAGGUUUUUUGAGGGUUUUAUGGUGAAAAAGUAAAAGAGCACAAAGAACUUUGUGAAAGGGUGCACAAAAACAUGAAAAUCAGGGUUAACUCGAGGAAAUAUAUAGAAGUUUCAAAGCAAGCUUCCAUGGGGGGUGUAAAAACGUGGGAAAGGAAGAAGAAGAAGAAGAA